GACGAACGCUGGCGGCGUGCUUAACACAUGCAAGUCGAACGGAAAGGCCCUGCUUUUGUGGGGUGCUCGAGUGGCGAACGGGUGAGUAACACGUGAGUAACCUGCCCUUGACUUUGGGAUAACUUCAGGAAACUGGGGCUAAUACCGGAUAGGAGCUCCUGCUGCAUGGUGGGGGUUGGAAAGUUUCGGCGGUUGGGGAUGGACUCGCGGCUUAUCAGCUUGUUGGUGGGGUAGUGGCUUACCAAGGCUUUGACGGGUAGCCGGCCUGAGAGGGUGACCGGCCACAUUGGGACUGAGAUACGGCCCAGACUCCUACGGGAGGCAGCAGUGGGGAAUAUUGAACAAGGGGCGGAAGCCUGAUGCAGCAACGCCGCGUGCGGGAUGACGGCCUUCGGGUUGUAAACCGCUUUCGCCUGUGACGAAGCGUGAGUGACGGUAAUGGGUAAAGAAGCACCGGCUAACUACGUGC
rnacentral:rRNA from 1 species